rnacentral:rRNA from 1 species
CUAGGUGGCAAGCGUUGUCCGGAAUUAUUGGGCGUAAAGCGCGCGCAGGCGGUUCUUUAAGUCUGAUGUGAAAGCCCACGGCUCAACCGUGGAGGGUCAUUGGAAACUGGAGAACUUGAGUACAGAAGAGGAAAGCGGAAUUCCACGUGUAGCGGUGAAAUGCGUAGAGAUGUGGAGGAACACCAGUGGCGAAGGCGGCUUUCUGGUCUGUAACUGACGCUGAGGCGCGAAAGCGUGGGGGAGCAAACAGGAUUAGAUACCCUGGUAGUCCACGCCGUAAACGAUGAGUGCUAAGUGUUAGGGGGUUUUCCGCCCCUUAGUGCUGCAGCUAACGCAUUAAGCACUCCGCCCUGGGAGUACGGCCGCAAGGCUG